rnacentral:rRNA from 1 species
GAUGAACGCUAGCGGGAGGCUUAACACAUGCAAGUCGUGGGGCAGCACAGGUAGCAAUACUGGGUGGCGACCGGCGCACGGGUGAGUAACGCGUAUGCAACCUGCCCUGUACAGGGGGAUAGCCCGGAGGAAUUCGGAUUAAUACCCCAUAAUGAUAUUAAGAGGCAUCUUUUGAUAUUUAAAGCUUCGGCGGUACAGGAUGGGCAUGCGUGACAUUAGCUAGUUGGUAGGGUAAUGGCCUACCAAGGCUUCGAUGUCUAGGGGUCCUGAGAGGGUGAUCCCCCACACUGGUACUGAGACACGGUCCAGACUCCUACGGGAGGCAGCAGUGGGGAAUAUUGGACAAUGGGCGAAAGCCUGAUCCAGCAAUACCGCGUGUGUGAAGAAGGCCUUAGGGUUGUAAAGCACUUUCAAUUGGAAGGAAAACCUCGAAGCUAAUACCUUCGAGUUUGACAUUGCCUUUAGAAGAAGCACCGGCUAACUCCGUGCCAGCAGCCGCCGUAAUAC